rnacentral:rRNA from 1 species
ACGGGAGGCAGCAGUGGGGAAUAUUGGGCAAUGGGGGCAAGCCUGACCCAGCAACGCCGCGUGAAGGAAGAAGACUUUCGGGUUGUAAACUUCUUUUACCAGGGACGAAGAAAGUGACGGUACCUGGAGAAAAAGCUACGGCUAACUACGUGCCAGCAGCCGCGGUAAUACGUAGGUAGCAAGCGUUGUCCGGAUUUACUAGGUGUAAAGGGCGUGUAGGCGGAGAUGCAAGUCAGGUGUGAAAUCUAUGGGCUUAACCCAUAAACUGCUUUUGAAACUGCAUCCCUUGAGUAUCGGAGAGGCAGGCGGAAUUCCUAGUGUAGCGGUGAAAUGCGUAGAUAUUAGGAGGAACACCAGUGGCGAAGGCGGCCUGCUGGACGACAACUGACGCUGAGACGCGAAAGCGUGGGGAGCAAACAGGAUUAGAUACCCUGGUA